rnacentral:rRNA from 1 species
UACGGGGGGGGUAAGCGUUGUUCGGAAUUACUGGGCGUAAAGGGCUCGUAGGCGGCCAACUAAGUCAUACGUGAAAUCCCUCAGCUUAACUGGGGAACUGCGUGUGAUACUGGAUGGCUUGGAUUUGGGAGAGGGAUGCGGAAUUCCAGGUGUAGCGGUGAAAUGCGUAGAUAUCUGGGGGAACACCGGUGGCGAAGGCGGCAUCCUGGACCAAUAUUGACGCUGAGGAGCGAAAGCCAGGGGAGCAAACGGG